UACAGAGGUCCCAAGCGUUGUUCGGAUUCAUUGGGCGUAAAGGGUGCGUAGGCGGCGCGGUAAGUCGGGUGUGAAAUCUCGGAGCUUAACUCCGAAACUGCAUUCGAUACUGCCGUGCUUAAGGACUGGAGAGGAGACUGGAAUUUACGGUGUAGCGGUGAAAUGCGUAGAUAUCGUAAGGAAGACCAGUGGCGAAGGCGGGCCUCUGGACAGUUCCUGACGCUGAGGCCCGAAGGCCAGGGGAGCAAACGGG
rnacentral:rRNA from 1 species